GCAUAUCAAUAAGCGGAGGAAAAGAAACCAACAGGGAUUGCCCCAGUAACGGCGAGUGAAGCGGCAACAGCUCAAAUUUGAAAUCUGGCCCCCCGGCCCGAGUUGUAAUUUGCAGAGGAUGCUUUUGGUGAGGCACCUACCGAGUCCCCUGGAAUGGGGCGCCAUAGAGGGUGAGAGCCCCGUAUGGUAGGACGCCGAACCUCUGUAAAGCUCCUUCGACGAGUCGAGUAGUUUGGGAAUGCUGCUUUAAAUGGGAGGUAAAUUUUUUUUAAAGCUAAAUACCGGCCAGAGACCGAUAGCGCACAAGUAGAGUGAUCGAAAGAUGAAAAGCACUUUGAAAAGAGGGUUAAAAAGUACGUGAAAUUGUUGAAAGGGAAGCGCUUGUGACCAGACUUGCGCGGGGCGGAUCAUCCAGCGUUCUCGCUGGUGCACUCCGCCCGGUUCAGGCCAGCAUCGGUUUUCGCCGGGGGACAAAGGCUUCGGGAACGUGGCUCCUUUCGGGGAGUGUUAUAGCCCGUUGCGUAAUACCCCGGCGGGGACCGACGACCGCGCUUCGGCAAGGAUGCUGGCGUAAUGGUCAUCAGCGACCCGUCUUGAAACACGGACCGAGGAGUCAAGCAUUAGUGCGAGUGUUUGGGUGUAAAACCCCCACGCGUAAUGAAAGUGAACGUAGGUGAGAGCUUCGGCGCAUCAUCGACCGAUCCUGAUGUUUUCGGAAGGAUUUGAGUAGGAGCAUUAACGCUUGGACCCGAAAGAUGGUGAACUAUACUUGAAUAGGGUGAAGCCAGAGGAAACUCUGGUGGAGGCUCGCAGCGGUUCUGACGUGCAAAUCGAUCGUCAAAUUUGAGUAUAGGGGCGAAAGACUAAUCGAACCAUCUAGUAGCUGGUUUCAGCCGAA
rnacentral:rRNA from 1 species